AUUGAACGCUGGCGGCAGGCCUAACACAUGCAAGUCGAGCGGAGCGGCGGACGGGUGAGUAAUGCCUAGGAAUCUGACUGGUAGUGGGGGAUAACGUCCGGAAAUGGGCGCUAAUAUUGCAUACUAUCAGAUGAGCCUAGGUCGGAUUAGCGAGUUGGUGGGGUAAAGUCCUACAAAUGCGACGAUCCGGAACUGGUCUGCGAGGAAGAUCAGGCACACUGGAACUGAGACACGGUUCAGACUCCUACGGGAGGCAGCAGUGGGUAAUAGUGGACAAUGGGCGUAAGCCUGAUCCAGCCAUGCCGCGUGUGUGAAGAAGGUCUUCGGAUUGUAAAGCACUUUCAGUUGGGAGGCGUUACCAACAGAAUAAGCACCGGCUAACUUCGUGCCAGCAGCCGCGGUAAUAC
rnacentral:rRNA from 1 species